UUGAUCCUGGCUCAGAAUCAACGCUGGCGGCGUGCCUAACACAUGCAAGUCGAACGCGAAAGUCCCGAAAGGGAUCAGUAGAGUGGCAAACGGGUGAGUUACACGUGGGUGACCUGCCUUCGAGUGGGGGAUAACGUCCCGAAAGGGACUCUAAUACCGCAUAACAUCCUGCCUUUGAACAGGUGGUGAUCAAAGCUGGUGAUCGCAAGACCUAGCGCUCAAAGAGGGGCCCGCGUCUGAUUAGCUAGUUGGUGGGGUAAUGGCUCACCAAGGCUACGAUCAGUAUCCGGCCUAAGAGGUCGGACGGACACACUGGGACUGAGACACGGCCCAGACUCCUACGGGAGGCUGCAGUGGGGAAUUGUUCGCAAUGGGCGCAAGCCUGACGACGCAACGCCGUGUGGAGGAUGAAGACCUUCGGGUCGUAAACUCCUUUCGAUCGAGACGAAUUCCCCUGGGACGAAUAAUCCUGGGGGUUGACGGUACCGAGAGAAGAAGCUCCGGCUAACUCCGUGCCAGCAGCCGCGGUAAUAAGGU
rnacentral:rRNA from 1 species